GGCUGAUAGCACAGUUGGUUAGAGCAUGGUGCUGAUAGCACCAAGGUUGCAGGUUCAAUCCUUGUAUGGGACA
rnacentral:tRNA from 1 species